rnacentral:rRNA from 1 species
GACGAACGCUGGCGGCGUGCUUAACACAUGCAAGUCGAACGAAGUGGCGAACGGGUGAGUAACGCGUAAUCAACCUGCCCUUCAGAGGGGGACAACAGUUGGAAACGACUGCUAAUACCGCAUACUGAGGGAGGGGAUUGCGUCGGAUUAGCUAGUUGGGGGGUGAACGGCCCACCAAGGCGCUGAUCAGUAGCCGGGCUUAGAGGAUGAACGGCCACAUUUGGACUGGGACACGGCCCAGACUCCGACGGGAGGCAGCAGGGGGGAAUCUUCCGCAAUUGACGAAAGUCUGACGGAGCAACGCCGCGUGAGUGAUGACGGCCUUCGGGUUGUAAAGCUCUGUUAAUCGGGACGCGGUACCGGAAUAGAAAGCCACGGCUAACUACGUGCCAGCAGCCGCGGUAAUAC